ACGUGAUCUGAGUUCAGACCGGAGCAAUCCAGGUCAGUUUCUAUCUAUAAAGAGGCUCUUCCAGUACGAAAGGACCGAAGAAACAAGGCCUAUAUAUUAACAAGCCUUAUUUAUUAAUUAUGAAAAAAACUUAAUAAUAUAAUAAUCUUCUACUUAUCUCAAGAGAAGAGUA
rnacentral:rRNA from 1 species